AGUAGAAAUAAGUUUUUUAAUUGGAAUAAGGGAAUAACUUGCUGCCGGAUGUGGGUGAGUCGAGGCAAGUCGGGGACUGAGAGGCACGGCGGCGGUUCUAAAUGCUGCUGCUCGGCGGGUUAGGCCAGAAGGAGGAGGCCGCGAUGGCGUGGCUGGAUGGGGUUCCGGCGAGUAGUCGGGCUGGACGUCCGGGGUGGCGGCGGUAUUUCGAGCUGCUGGCCGCAAUUCAGAGGGGAGGAAGAGGCGGUUUAGGGAGAAUCGGAGAUGGUGGUGAUGAAUCGCGGCGGGGGUUGCCUAUUGGCGCCGUCUGUUCGUCGAUCGAGAGAGAAGGUGGCUGAGCGACGCUGCUGCUGUGCCGCGACGGCAAGGCGAUGCUCCGACUGCCUCUCCCUUGAAUUCGACGAAGGAAAGGGUUAGGGAUUUUGGGGAUUUCAGAAUUUGGGAGCUUCUUACACUGGGGUUCUGUGGAAUCGGAGAGGGAAUGAGGAGAUGAGGCUGAGAGGGUGAGUAGGAGGUGGUUGGCGACGGUAGUCCUUCACCGUUGACCGUCCAGUCGAAAAANAAAAAAGAUGGGAAGGGUAGAUUUACAGAUUUAGGGAUUUCAGAUUUUUAGGCUUUGAGGAAUGAAGAAGGAGUGGGAGACGUAUGCGUGUGAAGGAGGGAGUGGAGAGGAGGAAAAAGAGGCACGGCGACGACGCCACUGUUACCGCGGCUGUUAUCGCCGGCGAGGAAGAGGCGGCGGCGGCUGCAUAUUUAGAGGGAGAAGAGAGAAAUUGAGCGUGAGAGAUGGGAUGGAGAGAGAGACCGAUCCAGCGUUAAGGAGAGAGAGUGGACUGGAUAGUUGGGCCCUGAUUUUGGGCUUCAGCUUUUAUUUUAAAUUGGGCCCGAGACAUGAGAAUUAUUUGAUUGAACUUGGGCUCAUACUAAGAGAAUUGGACUUAAGUUUUUUAUUUAUUUUUUUUGAUUAAUUUGAGCCUUGGCUUGAUUAUUUAUUCAAAGUUUCAUAAUAAAUAUUAUUAUGCAUUAAGUAUGAGAUUUUAGAUAUGUGAUUAUAGCAUGAGUUUGCAAAAGAGUUCAAAAGUUUUAAGCUAUACUUUUGCAAUAAGUAUUUUGAAAUUGGGAUUUAGUUAAGUUUAAUGAGAAGUCAAUUAAUUACCGAACUAGGAUUUAAGAAUUUUAUGAAAAUGUUAGCAGAGACGAUAUUUUGAGGCCUAUUAAGAUUAUAUUAUCUUGUAGGUCCACUUGAUAUAAGCUUUUAGCACUGAUUUUACAAGAAGAGAAUUGUGCAAGAUUUAUC
rnacentral:lncRNA from 1 species